CAGUAGCCGCGGUAAUACGUAGGGUCCGAGCGUUGUCCGGAAUUAUUGGGCGUAAAGGGCUCGUAGGCGGUUUGUUGCGUCGGGAGUGAAAACCCAGGGCUUAACUUUGGGCUUGCUUUCGAUACGGGCGGACUUGAGGCAUUGAGGGGAGAACGGAAUUCCUGGUGUAGCGGUGAAAUGCGCAGAUAUCAGGAGGAACACCGGUGGCGAAGGCAGCUCGCUGGAACGUUACUGACGCUGAGACGCGAAAGCGUGGGGAGCAAACAGGAUUAGAUACCCCAGUAGUCCCUGUCUCUUAUAC
rnacentral:rRNA from 1 species